GAUGAACGCUAGCGGCAGACUUAACACAUGCAAGUCGAGGGGCAGCAUAAUGGAUAGCAAUAUCUAUGGUGGCGACCGGCGCACGGGUGCGUAACGCGUAUGCAACCUACCUUUAACAGGGGGAUAACACUGAGAAAUUGGUACUAAUACCCCAUAAUAUCAUAGAAGGCAUCUUUUAUGGUUGAAAAUUCCGAUGGUUAGAGAUGGGCAUGCGUUGUAUUAGCUAGUUGGUGGGGUAACGGCUCACCAAGGCGACGAUACAUAGGGGGACUGAGAGGUUACCCCCCCACACUGGUACUGCGACACGGACCAGACUCCUACGGGAGGCAGCAGUGAGGAAUAUUAGUCAAUGGACGCAAGUCUGAACCAGCCAUGCCGCGUGCAGGAUGACGGCUCUAUGAGUUGUAAACUGCUUUUGUACGAGGGUAAACGCAGAUACGUGUAUCUGUCUGAAAGUAUCGUACGAAUAAGGAUCGGCUAACUCCGUG
rnacentral:rRNA from 1 species